GCUCCAGUGGCGCAAGCGGUUUGCGCGCCGUACUUAUAUAACAGUAUCGGAGACAUGCGGAGGUUGUGAGUUCGAGCCUCACCUGGAGCAUUUUUUCGUCACAU
rnacentral:tRNA from 1 species